rnacentral:rRNA from 1 species
AUUGAACGCUGGCGGCACGCCUAACACAUGCAAGUCGAACGGUAGCACAGAGAGCUUGCUCUCGGGUGACGAGUGGCGGACGGGUGAGUAAUGUCUGGGAAACUGCCCGAUGGAGGGGGAUAACUACUGGAAACGGUAGCUAAUACCGCAUAACGUCGCAAGACCAAAGUGGGGGACCUUCGGGCCUCACACCAUCGGAUGUGCCCAGAUGGGAUUAGCUAGUAGGUGGGGUAAUGGCUCACCUAGGCGACGAUCCCUAGCUGGUCUGAGAGGAUGACCAGCCACACUGGAACUGAGACACGGUCCAGACUCCUACGGGAGGCAGCAGUGGGGAAUAUUGCACAAUGGGCGCAAGCCUGAUGCAGCCAUGCCGCGUGUAUGAAGAAGGCCUUCGGGUUGUAAAGUACUUUCAGCGGGGAGGAAGGCGGUGAAGUUAAUAGCUUCACCGAUUGACGUUACCCGCAGAAGAAGCACCGGCUAACUCCGUGCCAGCCGCCGCCGUAA